rnacentral:rRNA from 1 species
UCCGUAGGUGAACCUGCGGAGGGAUCAUUACCGAGUUUACAACUCCCAAACCCCAUGUGAACAUACCUGUUUCGUUCCCUCGGCGGUGUCCGGCAACGGCCCGCCAGAGGACCCAACAAACUCUUUUGAAUUUUUCAGUAUCUUCUGAGUAAAAAACAAAUAAAUCAAAACUUUCAACAACGGAUCUCUUGGUUCUGGCAUCGAUGAAGAACGCAGCGAAAUGCGAUAAGUAAUGUGAAUUGCAGAAUUCAGUGAAUCAUCGAAUCUUUGAACGCACAUUGCGCCCGCCAGUAUUCUGGCGGGCAUGCCUGUUCGAGCGUCAUUUCAACCCUCAAGCUCAGCUUGGUGUUGGGGAUCGGCAAGGCGUCCUCCGGGUCGCGCCGUCCCCCAAAUUUAGUGGCGGUCUCGCUGUAGCUUCCUCUGCGUAGUAAUACACCUCGCUCUGGAGUCUCGGUGCGGCCACGCCGUAAAACCCCCAACUUUUUCUGGUUGACCUCGAAUCAGGUAGGACUACCCGCUGAACUUAAGCAUAUCAAUAAGCCGGG